rnacentral:rRNA from 1 species
UACGUAGGGGGCAAGCGUUGUCCGGAUUUAUUGGGCGUAAAGCGCUCGCAGGCGGUCCGUUGCGUCGUGCGUGAAAGACCCCGGCUCAACUGGGGAGGGUCGUGCGAUACGGUCGGACUCGAGGCCAGUAGGGGGACGCGGAAUUCCGGGUGUAGUGGUGGAAUGCGUAGAUAUCGCUUGGAACGCCGAAGGUGAAAACAGGCUGCUAGGGUUGUGCCGACGCUGAGACACGAAAGCCAGGGGAGCAAACGGG